UGUUAAUGCAAGUAAAAAGUAAAGAAAAAGGAAGAAUAUGGACCUGGGAGGUGCCAAAUAUAAGCUGGAGGGGAUUUCUGCUGUGGUUGGAAUGAAGAAAUGGUGUAUCGAAAUGUUGUACCUAUUGCCUAAGAAUCAAUCAGAAGUAUGAAGUUACAUCUCUAUUCACCAAAGUACCAGUCAAGGAUGGUCUUCGCAACUCACCCGGAGGGCUUGACGGAAUAUGUCUCAGGACUAGCAUAUUUUAACUGGAAAGGAGAAUUCUAUGAAAAGUACGAAGAUCACCUCUAUCACCAAUGAUCGCCAAUUUUUAUAUGGAAAUGUUUGAAGAGGAUCGUGAUUUUUGCAGCAUGGAAAAUAGCGACUCCAGGAGUUCCUACACCAACUAAAUUCACAACACUCCAUGAGUUACCAUGGAAUCGGAAUCUGCAAAAUAGUUGCCUUUCCUGGAUAUUCUGGUCAUUAGGAAGAUAGAUGGGGUAUGGAACUAGGAGUGUAUCGAAAGAAGACACAUACGAAUAGGUAGCUUAUUCCAGCGAACAGAGAGGAUUCCUACAAAAUGUACUGCAGAAGAACAACUAUACGAUGAGGGAUAUACAACGAGCCACUAAACUACGCAACCAGAAGGAA